UAAAAUCGCAAGUGGUAAGGCAAGUUACUACGGUUAUUAAUUGACUCGACUAAAUGCUCCAAAUUUUACUUUAGUAGACCGCGCUGCGUCGAUUUAUUGCACGUAAAGCUAUGCAUUGAUAGUUACCUUUCAAAAAUACUUAAACCUAUAUUCGCCCAGGCGGAAAGCAUGAGGUGGAGAACAUUGAAAGCAACUAUGUUGGGGCUGAUUGAAUCUACUACCUUAUCAAAUAAUACUACUAUUACCAGAGUCAAUUACACAGGCUAUUAAAUAAUUAACUUAUAUCACUUUUUUACUCGCUUUUUUUAACUUUUUUUUGUAAGCUUUAGGAGGCGAUUAGUAUAUAUGCCUUAAAACUUUGAGAGUCAAGUAUAUUUUAGUACAGAGUAGUUAUUUUUAAGCUAAACUUCCAUUAGUUUUGUGACUUGCCCUGCUACGUUAUACUGCGCAGUGAAACAAACAAGUCUACACAGAGAGAGCCUGAUGUAGCAGUAAAAAUAGCUGCCGACUCGUGUCCUUUGACAUACUCUGGAGGGGUAACUGUUUAGAAAAAGACCCAAAGUCUUGAACAAACCUUUU